rnacentral:rRNA from 1 species
CAGCCGCCACGGUAAUACGAAGGGUGCAAGCGUUAAUCGGAAUUACUGGGCGUAAAGCGUGCGUAGGCGGUGAGUUAAGUCUGCUGUGAAAGCCCUGGGCUCAACCUGGGAAUUGCAGUGGAUACUGGGUCACUAGAGUGUGGUAGAGGAUAGUGGAAUUUCCGGUGUAGCAGUGAAAUGCGUAGAGAUCGGAAGGAACAUCUGUGGCGAAGGCGACUAUCUGGGCCAACACUGACACUGAGGCACGAAAGCGUGGGGAGCAAACAGGAUUAGAUACCCCUGUAGUCCCUGUCUCUUAUAC